AACGAACGCUGGCGGUAUGUUUAACACAUGCAAGUCGAACGAAGUUUUUGGGUUUAGUGGUGUAUGGGUGCGUAACACGUGGGAAUCUGCCCUUUGGUUCGGAAUAACAGUUAGAAAUGACUGCUAAUACCGGAUAAUGACGUAAGUCCAAAGAUUUAUCGCCGAAGGAUGAGCCCGCGUAGGAUUAGGUAGUUGGUGGGGUAAUGGCCCACCAAGCCGACGAUCCUUAGUUGGUUUGAGAGGAUGAUCAGCCACACUGGGACUGAGACACGGCCCAGACUCCUACGGGAGGCAGCAGUGGGGAAUCUUAGACAAUGGGGGAAACCCUGAUCUAGCCAUGCCGCGUGAUCGAUGAAGGCCUUAGGGUUGUAAAGAUCUUUCAGGUGGGAAGAUAAUGACUGUACCACCAGAAGAAGCCCCGGCUAACUCCGUG
rnacentral:rRNA from 1 species